rnacentral:tRNA from 1 species
CAGAGUUUAGCUAAACAGAAUAGCAUCUCCCUUACACCGAGAAGUCAUCCGUGCAAGUCGGAUUGCUCUGA